rnacentral:rRNA from 16 species
GAAAUAGCCCUCCCGUAUAGACCGUACCCUAAACCGACACAGGUGAUCAGGUAGAGAAUACUAAGGCGAUCGAGAGAAUCAUGGUUAAGGAACUCGGCAAAAUGCCCCCGUAACUUCGGGAGAAGGGGGACCUUGAGCGUGAUGGGCACUUGCUGCCUGGAGCGUGUAUGGGUCGCAGAGACCAGGGGGAAGCGACUGUUUAUCAAAAACACAGGUCCGUGC